GCAGGUAUAGAUCAAAUAAAUACAUGGAAACAGCAUUGCAGGUAUUAAUCAACUGAACAAGACAUACAAACCCUGUAUUUGCAGGUAUACAAUAAUAACAUAUGAAACGUAGCAUUGCAGGUAUAGAUCAAAUAAAUACAUGGAAACAGCAUUGCAGGUAUUAAUCAACUGAACAAGACAUACAAACCCUGUAUUUGCAGGUAUACAUAAAUAAUGUAUGGAAACAUAGCAUAGCAGAUAUGGAUCUACAGAAUAACACACAAA